rnacentral:rRNA from 1 species
AGCAGCCGCGGUAAUUCCAGCUCCAAUAGCGUAUAUUAAAGUUGUUGCAGUUAAAAAGCUCGUAGUUGAAUUUCGGGAUCAAGGAAUCGGUCAUGCCUCGGUAUGUACUGGUUUUAUUGGUUCUCACCUUCUAAAGAACCAUAAUGUCAUUCAUUUGGUGUUAUGGGGAAUUAGGACUGUUACCUUGAAAAAUUAGAGUGUUUAAAGCAAGCUUACGCUUGAAUACAUUAGCAUGGAAUAAUGAAAUAGGACACCCGAUUCUAUUUUGUUGGUUUCUAGGAUCGAUGUAAUGAUUAAUAGGGAUAGUUGGGGGCAUUAGUAUUCAAUUGUCAGAGGUGAAAUUCUUGGAUUUAUUGAAGACUAACUACUGCGAAAGCAUUUGCCAAGGAUGUUUUCAUUAAUCAAGAACGAAAGUUAGGGGAGUCGAANACGAUCAGAUACCGUCGUAGUCUUAACCAUAAACUAUGCCGACUAGGGAUCGGAUGAUGUUUUAUUUUUUAGUUGUACUCUA